AUUCAUUAAGAGCUGCUAAAUAGAGAAAUAGAUAAGAAAAUCCUGAGCUACAUCUUCUUGUGCAUUGGAUGAAGACACUAAUACAACAUUAUUAUGAGGAAGUAGUGUGACGCAAAUAGGUCAGGACGGAUUUCUUCUGUUCUUUAUGUGAUUGCGAAAGAAUAGUGGUAUGAACACAAGUCUGCCAUACUAAAGAUGAGUCCAGGUAUAAAAGGACAAAGACGUAUCUUCACAACCAAGGUCUAGCAAGAC
rnacentral:lncRNA from 1 species